CCUCCCAUCUGAGAGAGCUGGACUUUAGCUACAAUAAUCCAGGAGACUCAGGAGUGAAGCUACUGUCAGCGGGCUUGAAGGAUCCACUCUGGAGACUGGACACACUCAGAGUGGAGCCUGCUGGAGUCAGAUGGUUGACACCAGGUCUGAGGAAAUAUUCCUGUGAACUCACAUUCGACACAAACACAGUG